rnacentral:rRNA from 1 species
GUCGAGAAUCUUGGGCAAUGCGCGAAAGCGUGACCCAGCAAUGCCGCGUGUAUGAUGAAGGCUCUCGGGUUGUAAACUUCUUUGACAGGGGACGAAAUAAAUGACGGUACCCUGAAAACAAGCCACGGCUAACUACGUGCCAGCAGCCGCGGUAAUACGUAGGUGGCGAGCGUUGUCCGGAUUUACUGGGUGUAAAGGGCGUGUAGGCGGGGCGGUAAGUCAGAUGUGAAAUAUGGGGGCUCAACCCUCAAACUGCAUUUGAAACUAUCGUUCUUGAGUGAUGGAGAGGCAGGCGGAAUUCCGUGUGUAGCGGUGAAAUGCGUAGAUAUACGGAGGAACACCAGUGGCGAAGGCGGCCUGCUGGACAUUAACUGACGCUGAGGCGCGAAAGCGUGGGGAGCAAACAGGAUUAGAAACCCCAGUAGUCC